GUCAGGAUGGCCGAGUGUUCUAAGGCGCCAGACUCAAGAACCGAGGUUCUUCCCCGACAUGAGGUGUUGAGUAUCUCUGGUCUCCGAAUGGAGGCGUGGGUUCGAAUCCCACUUCUGACA
rnacentral:tRNA from 1 species